GACGAACGCUGGCGGCAUGCUUAACACAUGCAAGUCGAACGGAAAGGCCCUGCUUUUGUGGGGUGCUCGAGUGGCGAACGGGUGAGUAACACGUGAGUAACCUGCCCUUGACUUUGGGAUAACUUCAGGAAACUGGGGCUAAUACCGGAUAGGAGCUCCUGCUGCAUGGUGGGGGUUGGAAAGUUUCGGCGGUUGGGAUGGACUCGCGGCUUAUCAGCUUGUUGGUGGGGUAGUGGCUUACCAAGGCUUUGACGGGUAGCCGGCCUGAGAGGGUGACCGGCCACAUUGGGACUGAGAUACGGCCCAGACUCCUACGGGAGGCAGCAGUGGGGAAUAUUGCACAAUGGGCGGAAGCCUGAUGCAGCAACGCCGCGUGCGGGAUGACGGCCUUCGGGUUGUAAACCGCUUUCGCCUGUGACGAAGCGUGAGUGACGGUAAUGGGUAAAGAAGCACCGGCUAACUACGUG
rnacentral:rRNA from 1 species